AGAUGUUGCAUAAUUUAUCCAAUCAGACAGUAAGUUAAUGGUUAAAUAAGUGAUAUAAAUCUCUAUUAACAGAAAUGAUGCUUACAAGGGAUUUUAAUAGUGCUAUAUGCACUGUUGAGUAAAAAGAUACAGGACUACUUAUACAGUAUGAUCAUUUUUAAAAAAGCUUUCAAUGCAUAUUUCACACGCCUUGAUCUCUGUGAGCAUGAUGAAUGCCACAGUAAAGGUGGCUGAACUGGACUCUGGUCACUGCAGGACUCAUGUUGAUCUCAGUGCAGUUUUCACCACACGUGGGACCUAAGCUACAUCUGGAGGGGCGUUGGCUAACUUUAGUGCCUGCCUCUCUGUCUGCCGUCUCCCCUUUUUCAUUUU
rnacentral:lncRNA from 1 species